UUGGUUAUAAUGUCAGUGGAUGACUCCUCAGCUGGUAAGUUAUUGAAUGAGUGUGUGGACUUGUUGAAUACCUUUUACAAUGUAUUUGAUCAACUACCUUUACCGUAGAUUACCAUAAUCCUAAUAAAACUUUUUUUUUAGAUUGAUAACAGCAGUGUAUGUUGUCACUCAUGUUGGACCUUGGCCACGGUGUGGCUCUGCACCAAUCAAGGACAAAUUAUAUUUCAAAUGAAGAAGCAACCACUAGCACUGGUCACAGUUAACGUGGAUUAUCUUUGUUACAAAUACGUUCCAUAGACUGCAUAUUAACACGGAAAGAGAAUCACAUAUUCGAAAAUAAUGUAAUAAUGGAACAGAUUUCACCUCGUCAACUGCGGGGAUCUUACCAAAUAUGUCAUCCCUGAUGGCAGUGAGCUGAUCGAGCUGCUACAUAUGCUGUGGAGCCCC